UACGAAGGGGGGCUAGCGUUGCUCGGAAUCACUGGGCGUAAAGGGCGCGUAGGCGGCCAUUCAAGUCGGGGGGUGAAAGCCUGUGGCUCAACCACAGAAUUGCCUUCGAUACUGUUUGGCUUGAGUUUGGUAGAGGUUGGUGGAACUGCGAGUGUAGAGGUGAAAUUCGUAGAUAUUCGCAAGAACACCAGUGGCGAAGGCG
rnacentral:rRNA from 1 species